rnacentral:rRNA from 1 species
UGGGGAAUUUUGGACAAUGGGCGAAAGCCUGAUCCAGCAAUGCCGCGUGUGUGAAGAAGGCCUUCGGGUUGUAAAGCACUUUUGUCCGGAAAGAAAUCCUUGGCUCUAAUACAGUCGGGGGAUGACGGUACCGGAAGAAUAAGCACCGGCUAACUACGUGCCAGCAGCCGCGGUAAUACGUAGGGUGCAAGCGUUAAUCGGAAUUACUGGGCGUAAAGCGUGCGCAGGCGGUUUGCUAAGACCGAUGUGAAAUCCCCGGGCUCAACCUGGGAAACUGCAUUGGGUGACUGGCAGGCUAGAGUAUGGCAGAGGGGGGUAGAAUUCCACGUGUAGCAGUGAAAUGCGUAGAGAUGUGGAGGAAUACCGAUGGCGAAGGCAGCCCCCUGGGCCAAUACUGACGCUCAUGCACGAAAGCGUGGGGAGCAAACAGGAUUAGAUACCCCUGGUAGUCCACGCCCUAAACGAUGUCAACUAGGUUGUUGGGGAUUCAUUCCUUAGUAACGUAGCUAACGCGUGAAGUUGACCGCCUGGGGAGUACGGUCGCAAGAUUAAAACUCAAAUGAAUUGACGGGGUC